rnacentral:tRNA from 1 species
UUACGUCGAUAGACGCACUUGAUGCAGUGCCUACACAGAUAGUCUUGUUUAAAAUGAAGAACGACACAAGUUUAUGGGGCUAUAGCUCAGCUGGGAGAGCGCCUGAUUUGCAUUCAGGAGGUCAGCAGUUCGAUCCUGCUUAGCUCCACCAUCUACUUGAAUCUGAGCUUGAACAACGUUUAAGUGCAGUAAACUGAAGGCUUGUAGCUCAGCUGGUUAGAGCGCACCCCUGAUAAGGGUGAGGUCGGCAGUUCAAGUCUGCCCAAGCCUACCAUUCACCUGCACUUGCUACGCAAGUGGUCGUGAAAAAGCCGCUUAACCGGAAGGGGACCUUCCUGACGGUUUUUCUACUCGCUAAAGUUGGCGGUAGUCAAAGACUAAGGUGGAAGCUGGUUUUGUGUCACGUUGGACCCGAAAUCCUAAUGAAUAUUUACUGUUUCAGUAAAGAUUGAUUAGGGUUUUUUACUCUAAAGAUGAAAGUACUGCUUUUGCAGGAAACAUCGAAUGUUCUUUAACAAUUUGGAAAGCUGAUAUUAAUAGUAAUCAAUCAAAAUUGAGUAACUGAGAAAUCGAAAGAUGACUUUUUACUCUACUUGACUGAAUUGCUUGUUAUCAAUCGAUGAUUUGAUAGCAAGGCAAUUCUUCCGAUUAGCUUGUCAUGCAUGCAACGUAACUUAGACAGAAGUCAAAAGGCUGUUUGGGGUUGUAUGGUUAAGUGACGAAGCGUAUACGGUGGAUGCCUUGGC